UAAGCCAUGCAUGUCUCAGUACAAGCCAAAKUAAGGUGAAACCGCGAAAGGCUCAUUAAAUCAGUYAUGGUUCCUUAGAUCGUACCCACAAUUACUAGGAUAACUGUGGUAAUUCUAGAGCUAAUACAUGCAAACAGAGCUCCGACCGGAAACGGAAGGAGUGGUUUUAUUAGAUCAAAACCAAUCGGUGGCGGGUUCGUUCGUCAUCGUACAACUUGGUGACUCUGAAUAACUUUACGCUGAUCGCACGGUCAUCGCACCGGCGACGCAUCUUUCAAAUGUCUGCCUUAUCAACUGUCGAUGGUAGGUUCUGCGCCUACCAUGGUUGUAACGGGUAACGGGGAAUCAGGGUUCGAUUCCGGAGAGGGAGCCUGAGAAACGGCUACCACAUCCAAGGAAGGCAGCAGGCGCGCAAAUUACCCACUCCCGGCACGGGGAGGUAGUGACGAAAAAUAACGAUACGGGACUCAUCCGAGGCCCCGUAAUCGGAAUGAGUACACUCUAAACCCUUUAACGAGGAUCAAUUGGAGGGCAAGUCUGGUGCCAGCAGCCGCGG
rnacentral:rRNA from 1 species